rnacentral:rRNA from 1 species
AACGUAGGAGACAAACGUUAUCCGGAGUUACUGGGCGUAAAGGGCGUGUAGGCGGUUUGUUAAGUCUGGCGUGAAAGCUCUCGGCUAAACCGGGAGAGGUCGUUGGAUACUGGCAAACUAGAGGACGGUAGAGGCGUGUGGAAUUCCGGGUGUAGUGGUGAAAUGCGUAGAGAUCCGGAGGAACACCAGUGGCGAAGGCGGGUCUCUGGGCCGUAACUGACGCUGAGGAGCGAAAGCAUGGGGAGCGAACAGG